GAAGAAAGAAAAGGUGGUAGUUCUUUUUCCUUCUUCUUCUUCUUCUUUCUUUCUUCUUCUUCUUCAAAAAAAAGAAAACUGAGCUUCCAAGUGGAGUUUGGAGGUUUAGAAUCUAUUUUAGAUCUUAAUCUUCAUCUAUAAAGGCUUUAGAUGUUUAUUUGCUAAACAAAUUUGGAAUGAGGGUGACACCCAAGUAAGCUCAAGCAAAGGGAAGGGAGCAACAAAGGAUUAGAAGAAUUAUAAUUAGUUUUGACGAAAUAUUUGCAUCUGUCGCACUAGCAUUGUGUCAGGUAGGUCAGCAGGAGGUCGACUUCAGUUUUUCUUGGACUUGACAUGUCUAGUGGAUUUUAUUAUCAUGUAUAAAACUGGAGCAUUUUAUAUGUAUAUAAAUAAAAAAGAGUGUACUAUUUGA